GACGAACGCUGGCGGCGCGCUUAACACAUGCAAGUCGAACGGAAAGGCCUGCUUUCCCUUGUGGAUUGCGGGUACUCGAGUGGCGAACGGGUGAGUAACACGUGAGUGAUCUGCCCCCAACUUGGGUAUAAGCCUGGGAAACUGGGUCUAAUUCCCGAUAGGACUGCAGGGUGGUGCCUGUGGUGGAAAACGAUUUUCUAGUGGUUGGGGAUGAGCUCGCGGCCUAUCAGCUUGUUGGUGGGGUAAUGGCCUACCAAGGCGGCGACGGGUAGCCGGCCUGAGAGGGUGGACGGGCACAUUGGGACUGAGAUACGGCCCAGACUCCUACGGGAGGCAGCAGUGGGGAAUAGUGCACAAUGGGCGGAAGCCUGAUGCAGCGACGCCGCGUGGGGGAUGACGGCCUUCGGGUUGUAAACUCCUUUCGACCGCGAGGAAGCCACCUGGUUGGAAGGGUGGUGACGGUAGUGGUAGAAGAAGCACCGGCUAACUACGUG
rnacentral:rRNA from 1 species